UACGUAGGGUGCAAGCGUUGUCCGGAAUUAUUGGGCGUAAAGAGCUCGUAGGCGGUCUGUCGCGUCUGCUGUGAAAACUCGGGGCUUAACCCCGGGCCUGCAGUGGGUACGGGCAGACUAGAGUGCGGUAGGGGUGACUGGAAUUCCUGGUGUAGCGGUGGAAUGCGCAGAUAUCAGGAGGAACACCGGUGGCGAAGGCGGGUCUCUGGGCCGAUACUGACGCUGAGGAGCGAAAGCGUGGGGAGCGAACAGG
rnacentral:rRNA from 1 species